rnacentral:rRNA from 1 species
CGGACGGGUGAGGUAACACGUGAGCAACCUGCCUUUCAGUCGGGGGACAACAGUUGGAAACGACUGCUAAUACCGCAUAACGUGCCGGAAGGGCAUCCUUUUGGUACCAAAGAUUUAUCGCUGAAAGAUGGGCUCGCGUCUGAUUAGAUAGUUGGUGAGGUAACGGCCCACCAAGUCGACGAUCAGUAGCCGGACUGAGAGGUUGAUCGGCCACAUUGGGACUGAGACACGGCCCAGACUCCUACGGGAGGCAGCAG